AAGAUUUUAAGUUAAAAAAACUUAAAGCCUUCAAAGUUUUACAUAUAUUAUUCUAAUUAUUUAAAUCUUA
rnacentral:tRNA from 1 species